rnacentral:rRNA from 1 species
AUUGAACGCUGGCGGCAGGCCUAACACAUGCAAGUCGAACGAGUGGCGGACGGGUGAGUAAUGUCUGGAAAACUGCCUGAUGGAGGGGGAUAACUACUGGAAACGGUAGAUAAUACCGCAUACCAUCGGAUGUGCCCAGAUGGGAUUAGCUAGUAGGUGGGUAAAGGCUCACCUAGGCUACGAGCCCUAGCUGGUCUGAGAGGAUGACCAGCCCAACUGGAACUGAGACACGGGCCAGACUCCUACGGGAGGCAGCAUUGGGGAAUAUUGCACAAUGGGCGAAAGCCUGAUGCAGCCAUGCCGCGUGUAUGAAGAAGGCCUUCGUGUUGUAAAGUACUUUCAGCGGGGAGGCGUUACCCGCAGAAGAAGCACCGGCUAACUCCGUGCCAGCAGCCGCGGUAAUUC